GAGGCAUUCGAACUCACGUCUAUCUUGGUCAUGAUUUCUUCUAGAUUCGCAACCAGAUGAUCAGUUGUCAAUGCUGUUUCUACAUACAAAACUGUUAUAUGGUUGGAAUCCUGAUCAUAUUACUAACUAUAUUUGUUCACAGGACGGCCUUUCUUACUGAUGGUAUCCUUGGGACAUGGUUAAUUGAUCAAUCAAUGCUGAAUUAUAGUGUACAACAUGUGAGGUGGCUGGGAGAUGCUGACUGUAAGAUGAUUUGGUUAACAUGGUACAUCCUUGUAAAUAAUCAGGUUUUGUCAAAUCUUAGCC
rnacentral:lncRNA from 1 species